CCCUUAGAUGUUCUGGGCCGCACGCGCGCUACACUGAUACGUUCAACAAGCUCCUUGGCCGAAAGGUCUGGGUAAUCUUUGAAACCGUAUCGUGAUGGGGAUAGAACAUUGCAAUUAUUGUUCUUCAACGAGGAAUGCCUAGUAAGCGCGAGUCAUCAACUCGCGUUGAUUACGUCCCUGCCCUUUGUACACACCGCCCGUCGCUACUACCGAUUGAAUGGCUUAGUGAGGUCUCCGAAUUGGCUUUGGGGAGCCGGCGACGGCACCCUAUUGCUGAGAAGCUGAUCAAACUUGGUCAUUUAGAGGAAGUAAAAGUCGUAACA
rnacentral:rRNA from 1 species